UGGGGAAUUUUGGACAAUGGGCGAAAGCCUGAUCCAGCAAUGCCGCGUGUGUGAAGAAGGCCUUCGGGUUGUAAAGCACUUUUGUCCGGAAAGAAAUGGCUCUGGUUAAUACCUGGGGUCGAUGACGGUACCGGAAGAAUAAGGACCGGCUAACUACGUGCCAGCAGCCGCGGUAAUACGUAGGGUCCAAGCGUUAAUCGGAAUUACUGGGCGUAAAGCGUGCGCAGGCGGUUGUGCAAGACCGAUGUGAAAUCCCCGAGCUUAACUUGGGAAUUGCAUUGGUGACUGCACGGCUAGAGGUGGUCAGAGGGGGGUAGAAUUCCACGUGUAGCAGUGAAAUGCGUAGAGAUGUGGAGGAAUACCGAUGGCGAAGGCAGCCCCCUGGGAUAACACUGACGCUCAUGCACGAAAGCGUGGGGAGCAAACAGG
rnacentral:rRNA from 1 species